AGAAGCCAUGGGGCAUGCUGGGAAAAUUCUCUAGUGACCUUCAUCCCUCACUGAUCUGGGAGCCUAAACUAUGCUCGGACACAGGCAUCUUUUGUGUUCUGACUAGAACCGUGAUUUGUGGUCACCCUGACUUCACCUUUCCCUCUGACGGCCCAAAGAGUGGAGCAGGAGAGGAAAUGAGAGGAGGCGAGGAGGCGAGAUGAGUGUGUUCGAGUGAGGCCAGGAGCUGCGGGCCGUGUUGAGAAAUCACAAGCACAUUGGAGAAGGGGUAGCUGAGCUCUCACAUUGAUGGCAGCCUAUGGUAGCCAAGGUACGAAGACCAGAUAGGUGCCCACCGAUGGAUGGAGAAACAAAGAAAACAUUGUUCAGAUACACCAGGAUCCUUUCAUCUUUUGUCAAGAAAGCAAUCCUGCCAUUGUAAUCAAGUGGAUGAACCUAGAGGACAUCAUGCCAAUGGAGAAAGUAUCCGACUGCCAAGCAGUGGUGUCUACAUGAGAGGCAUGAGCCUUGUCAUAUGGGGCUGGAAUUGUGAAGACAACGCUCCAACCUCAGAAGCCCUGGCCGUAAACACAGAGGCUGUGAUGCACACUCAUGGC